CAGCUGUAAACGAUGCAGACUAGGUGUUUGGACGGCCACGUGCCGUUCUAGUGCCGCAGGGAAGCUGUUAAGUCUGCCGCCUGGGGAGUACGAUCGCAAGAUUGAAACUUAAAGGAAUUGGCGGGGGAGCACCACAACGGGUGGAGCCUGCGGUUUAAUUGGACUCAACGCCGGGAAGCUCACCGGAUAAGACAGCGGAAUGAUUGCCGGGCUGAAGACCCUGCAUGACCAGCUGAGAGGUGGUGCAUGGCGUAGUCGUGU
rnacentral:rRNA from 1 species